GGCCGCUUGGCUCAAUGGUUAGAGUAUCUGCCUACGACUUCCGUAGACAUCCAGCUUGGCUGGGACGAUUAGCAGGGGGUUCCAGGUUCGAGUCCUGGAGUGGUCA